rnacentral:lncRNA from 1 species
UUUCUGUAUGUUUAUUUUUUUUAUUUUUAUUGCAUUAGGAAACAAAACCUUUAAAGCGUUAAGACAGCCCUUUUAUGUCCCUGCCAAAAGGAUGUGGUUGAUUCACAAGACACGUUACGCUGCUGGCCCCAGGCUCCUUGUCGAAUGGUGCGUUAUCUGCCCGCCUCUGUCUCUUUGCCGUGUGAGAGUCGGUUCGGGGGAAGCUCACCCGGUGGCAUGCGCAUGCAUGGUCAGUUUGGGUCACAGUGUCAUGGUGAGAGGCUACUCCAUGCCGCUCCGCAGGAUCUGGUUGGCCGCAAUCAGCAUCACGCUUAUAAUAAAGGCCAUGGCAAAUGCGCAGAUAAGGCUCUUCCGGACGCAGGUCUGUCUGUUCUGCUUCUGGGCAUGCACUUCAAACUCUGUUUGGCAGUUGCCAGAGUUUUCAUUUAAACUCUCCUCCUCG